UAAAUUAUUUGAUAAAAACAAUUGAAAGAUGUUCAUUUACCAUGAAAAAGAGUUUAGCAUACAUUAAUACAAAUGUAGAAUAUGGUAUAAAUUUUAAAACAACACUAAAGAUUAUAGGCUUCAGUAUGUAAAGUAUUUACGAAAAACUCAAUAUUUUUGUAGGGGGUUGGUUAGCCCAUAGAUUUUGAGAAAAUUUCAAAAAAUAUGAAAAUAGUUUUUUAAUGCUUAGUCGCAUCCUGCACUAACAUAUGAUGAUGUUCAAAGAGGUUUGGAGCCUUUGUGCUCUCCGUUUAUCAAGAAAAUAAUAAUUUUAUAUUGG
rnacentral:lncRNA from 1 species